GGAGGGGUGGCCGAGAGGUUUAUGGCGACGGUCUUGAAAACCGUAGAACGUAUGUUCCGCAGGUUCAAAUCCUGUCCCCUCCGCCA
rnacentral:tRNA from 1 species